rnacentral:rRNA from 1 species
UACGUAGGGGGCAAGCGUUGUCCGGAUUUAUUGGGCGUAAAGGCGCACGCAGGCGGUCUCUUAAGUUUCGAGUGACAGGUACAGGGCUUAACCCUGGCAGGCCUUGGAAAACUGGGGGACUUUGAGGGCUUCAGAGGGACGCGGAAUUCCAGGUGGAGCGGUGAAAUGCGUAGAUAAUCGGAAGGAACAUCAGUGGCGAAAGCGGCUUCCUGGACCAGCACCGACGUUCAGGCACGAAAGCGUGGGGAGCAAACAGG